CCGUCUGUGAGCUGUGAGAGAGAGAGAGAGAGAUGCGAUGGAGUCACAUGAUAAAUCCAGGGAAGCCAGAUUCUGCAUCAGGGUGCAGAUCUGAGUUUAUUACCCAGUGCAGAACCUUAUAUACAGUGUUUGAACCAAUCCCAAGCCCACAAAUCCUUGGCCAAUCAUAUCUCACCACAACAUCACUGUUGCUCCAACAAAAGCCCUGCCUGAUGAGGUUACUCAGAAGGAACAUUGGGGAAGUGGGGAGAAAGAAGUAUGUCCUGUUAGGUCACCUGUUAGGACUUCCGUGAAGAAGAGGGAAGCAGCCACCAACCCGGCCUAGAUCCCUUUUUACUGUUUCACUAGUGUUCCGGGAGCCAUCUUAGAUCUAGUUCCCUCACUCUCCGUUCCACCUUUUCCUUCACAACCGCCACAGCACACAG